rnacentral:lncRNA from 1 species
UUGAUUAUAGUAAAAUUGACUAAGUUUUUAUUUAUUAAUUACUAUUAAUUAUUAACUUUUGAUUCGUGUCUGUUAAUUUAAUAUUUGCAAAUAAUGUUGUUGCAGUGAGUUUAUGAUGAUCUUUGCUUUGCUCUGUUAUGCAUCUGUAUUGUUAAGUUCAGGUAAUGGUAGCCAUGGUUUGUGAAGGUUCUUUAUUUUAUAAGAUCUUUUAGGUUAUAUCUGGG